GAUGAAGAACGCAGCGAAAUGCGAUAAGUAGUGUGAAUUGCAGAAUUCAGUGAAUCAUCGAAUCUUUGAACGCACAUUGCGCCCCCUGGUAUUCCGGGGGGCAUGCCUGUUCGAGCGUCAUUUCACCACUCAAGCCUCGCUUGGUAUUGGGCGACGCGGUCCGCCGCGCGCCUCAAAUCGACCGGCUGGGUCUUUCGUCCCCUCAGCGUUGUGGAAACUAUUCGCUAAAGGGUGCCGCGGGAGGCCACGCCGUAAAACAACCCCAUUUCUAAGGUUGACCUCGGAUCAGGUAGGGAUACCCGCUGAACUUAAGCAUAUCAAUAAGCGGAGGA
rnacentral:misc_RNA from 1 species